CCGUUUUCAGUGUGCUCGGUCUGCCGAAGGGUAGACCUCCCACCCUUGUGUAUUAUUACUUUGUUGCUUUGGCGAGCUGCCUUCGGGCCUUGUAUGCUCGCCAGAGAAUACCAAAACUCUUUUUAUUAAUGUCGUCUGAGUACUAUAUAAUAGUUAAAACUUUCAACAACGGAUCUCUUGGUUCUGGCAUCGAUGAAGAACGCAGCGAAAUGCGAUAAGUAAUGUGAAUUGCAGAAUUCAGUGAAUCAUCGAAUCUUUGAACGCACAUUGCGCCCCUUGGUAUUCCGGGGGGCAUGCCUGUUCGAGCGUCAUUUCAACCCUCAAGCUUAGCUUGGUAUUGAGUCUAUGUCAGUAAUGGCAGGCUCUAAAAUCAGUGGCGGCGCCGCUGGGUCCUGAACGUAGUAAUAUCUCUCGUUACAGGUUCUCGGUGUGCUUCUGCCAAAACCCAAAUUUUUCUAUGGUUGACCUCGGAUCAGGUAGGGAUACCCGCUGAACUUAAGCAUAUCAUAACGGGGAAAGGAAAAAACUUUAAGAGUUCAUGCCCGAAAGGGUAGACCUCCCACCCUUGUGUAUUAUUACGUUGUUGCUUUGGCGAGCUGCCUUCGGGCCUUGUAUGCUCGCCGAGAAUACCAAACUCUUUUAUUAAUGUCGUCUGAGUACUAUAUAAGUUAAACUUUCACACGGACUUGGUUCUGCAUCGAUAAAAAAGCACGAUGCGAUAGUAAUGUGAAUUGCAAAAUCAUGAUCAUCGACUUGAACGCACAUGCGCCUUGGUAUUCCGGGGGCAUGCUGUUCGAGCGUCAUUCACCUCAGCUUAGCUGGGUGUUGAGUCUAUGUCAGUAAUGAGCAGGCUAAAAUCAUGGCGCGCCCUGGUGCUGAAAGUAGUAUAUCUCUGGUUACAGUCUCGGUUGCGGCUGCAAACAAAUUUUCUUGUGACCUCGACAGUAGGUACCGCUACUAGAUAGUUAGCGAGAGAGAAA
rnacentral:rRNA from 1 species